AGGUUAUGUAGGAUACAUUACUGAUAGACUGGGAAGAAAAACAAUACCGCUCAAAUAGGUAGUUAUCUGGAAAUUAAAAUACAUCUAUAGUUGGGGCCUAAAUGUCAUCUCCCGACGGAUGUUUAACUCCCUGCAAAGUAAUACGGCUUCUUCAUCAAAGGGAUCGUUGACAAAAGGAAAUGCUAAUGCUUUCAGAAAAAAAAAAG